ACAUUUCUACAUUUCUACAUUUCUACAUUUCUACAUUUCUACAUUUCUACAUUUCUACAUUUUAUAGAAAGAGUUCUACGUUAGCUUCAGAAAUGUUGGAUAACAAGCAAAAUUAACAAAGUGGCCAAUAUCUCAAAAACCAUGACACUUUGCAUAAAGUUCAUUACAUCCGUUCGCAAAUUAACCCGGAGUAUCUAUGUGAAUUCAUUCAAUACGAAUGAAAAUCACGCAAAUAAAAUUUGUCAGUAAAAAAGAAAAAUAUGCAAGUUUCACAAAUCCAUAUUUAUUUCAAAUAGCUCAAUUAAAAAGAUAAUGACAUAAAAAUAAUGUUUUUUAUGCAAGUCAAGAUAUAAUGCGUAACACAACGUAAUGUACUGUUAUCUUUAUCUCAACAGCACCGACGCGUUUCAACAUUGUCGAAUUAAGUUAUUAACUUGUCAAAACUUGAAGGAAAUAUAUUUUCUGACCGCGUAAAUUAACAUCACGUAUAACACUAUCGCGGAAAUAGUGUUAUAAUUUAUUGCGUAAAGAAGAAGCUUGCGUAAAGAAAGUGCCACUUAAUUUGAGGGAUGGGUGUAUAUUUCUUCCUCACUCAUUAUCGCUAACAAUGAGUCAAAGAUUCCUAGAAGAUUCGACGAAGCGAGAAACUACAUAAUUUUAAUUGAUAAUCGAUGAUGCAUCAUUGACUCGUUAAUACAAGAUUUGUAUUACUAUAAUUUGAAUUAUUUCAUAGUUGUAAAUCUGUUUUAAUUAAUUUAAAUGAAUUUUU
rnacentral:misc_RNA from 1 species